ACCAGACUCCUACGGGAGGCAGCAGUGGGGGAUAUUGCACAAUGGGGGAAACCCUGAUGCAGCGACGCCGCGUGAGUGAAGAAGUAUUUCGGUAUGUAAAGCUCUAUCAGCAGGGAAGAAAAUGACGGUACCUGAUUAAGAAGCCCCGGCUAACUACGUGCCCGCAGCCGCGGUAAUACGUAGGGGGCCAGCGUUAUCCGGAUUUACUGGGUGUAAAGGGAGCGUAGACGGCAGCACAAGUCUGGAGUGAAAUGGCGGGUCUUAACCCCGGAACUGCUUGGAAAACUGUGCAGCUAGAGUGCAGGAGAGAUAAGUGGAACUCCUAGUGGAGCGG
rnacentral:rRNA from 1 species